rnacentral:lncRNA from 1 species
GGUGGGUAAUGACACUAACCAGCCCUCUCAUUUACCCUAGGCCCAGGGGGACAGGGGUGGGUAAUGACUCUAACCCGUCCUCUCAUUUAGCUGAGGCCCAGGGAGACAGGGGUGGGUUAAUGACUCUAACCAGUCCUCUAUUUAGCUGGGCCCAGGGAGACGGGUGGGGUGGGUAAUGACUCUAACCAGUCCUCUCAUUUACUGAGGCCCAGGGAGACAGGGGGGGGUAAUGACUAACCAGUCCUCAUUUAGCUGAGGCCCAGGGGGGACAGGGGUGGGUAAUGACUCAACCAGUCCUCUCAUUUAGUGGGCCCAGGGAGACAGGGGUGGGUAAUGACUCAACCAGUCCUCUCAUUUAGCUGGGGCCCAGGGAGACAGGGGUGGGUAAUGAUCUAACCAGUCCUCUCAUUUAGCUGAGGCCCAGGGAGACAGGGGUGGGUAAUGACUCUAACCAGUCCUCUCAUUUAGCUGGGCCCAGGGAGACAGUGGGUGGGUAAUGACUCUAACCAGUCCUCUCAUUUAGCUGGGGCCCAGGGGACCGGGGUGGGUAAUGACUCUAACCAGUCCUCUCAUUUAGCAGAGGCCCAGGGUAAUGACUCUAACCAGUCCUCUCAUUUAGCCGAGGCCCGGGAGACAGGGUGGGUAAUGACACUAACCAUCCUCAUUUAGCAGAGGCCAGGGAGACAGGGGUGGGUAAUACUUAACCAUCCUCUCAUUUAGCCGAGCCCGGGUAAUGACUCUAACCAGUCCUCUCAUUUAGCCGAGGCCCAGGGUAAUGACUCCUCACCUUUCUGUGUUGUGAUAGAGGGGUUUGUUUUCUCCUAUUGGUCGUUGGAAUAAUAUUGUUCACUCAAUGGACAAUGCUCAUGUGUCUGUCCUUUUUAUUGGUCUUUCUGUACGAACUAUGAUUUGUUUUACCGUCGUGACUCUGCUCUCUGGUUGGUUAUUAGGCGCUACCAGGGAGGUCGCUAGGAGGAAGCUUCCUCAGAGCAUGUCCUUAGUAGAGGCUGAGAGGCAACAGAUCCUGGACGAGAUGAGGAAGAGGACCGCUCUGCUGACUGACAACAGCUGGAUACGACAACGCUCCACCUCUGACUACAACAAACAACCAACUAACCGGCGAGGGCCAAUGAGGAGGUACGACUCUCUGGAACACCUUCCCUCUUCCACCACCCUGCUCUCUAACCCCCAACGCCCCCACUCCUCCCUGGGUUUCGCCGCCCCGUACCGUCCCCCCUCCUCCCGGCACAGCAUGAGUGUGGCCCUGGGGGGUUCUCCAACGGGACUCAGAAGCACAGCCCUACCUGGCCCGCCCCUUCAGCACAUCUUCCCCCCCGGCCAACACGGAGAGGAACCCGUCACCGCGGAAUCACGACCCGCUCACCAGCAGAGCACCACCGUAAUGGACCAAUCAGGACUGUGUUGUAUGUUUAAAAGUGCAAUUUGAAAGCGUUCCGAGACCUUGACUUUGUUACAUUACAGCCUGUUCAAAAAUGGAUUAUUAAAUCGUUUCUUCCCCCCCUCAUCAAUCUACACACAAUACCCAUAAUGACAUCACAUACCCCAUAAUGCCAUCACACAUACCCCAUAGUGACAUCACAAUACCCCAUAAUGACAACAUUUUUUCACAUUUAUUAAAGAUUACACAUUACUUAAGUAUUCAGACCCUUUAUCAGGACUUCGUUGAAGGCAUCUUUGGCAGCG